ACCAGCAUGGUGUAGUGGUUUGAAUGUUAGACUACAACUCUGGAGACCAGGGUUCGAUUCCCAUCAUGGCC
rnacentral:tRNA from 1 species